UACAGGGGGGGCAAGCGUUGUCCGGAAUUACUGGGCGUACAGCGCGCGCAGGCGGUCCACUACGUGCCGUGUGACAGACGUCGGCUUAACCGACGUAGGCCAGGGUACACGGGUGAACUUGAGGCAGAGAGAGGGAUGUGGAAUACCCGGUGGAGCGGUGAAAUGCGUAGAGAUCGGGUGGAACACCAGUGGCGAAAGCGACUUCCUGGACCAAUACUGACGCUCAUGUGCGAAAGCGUGGGGAGCAAACAGG
rnacentral:rRNA from 1 species